rnacentral:rRNA from 1 species
CAUGCAGUCGAACGAUGAAGCCCAGCUUGCUGGGUGGAUUAGUGGCGAACGGGUGAGUAACACGUGAGUAACCUGCCCCCGACUCUGGGAUAAGCCCGGGAAACUGGGUCUAAUACCGGAUAUGACCUCGCACCGCAUGGUGCGGGGUGGAAAGAUUUAUCGGUGGGGGAUGGACUCGCGGCCUAUCAGCUUGUUGGUGAGGUAAUGGCUCACCAAGGCGACGACGGGUAGCCGGCCUGAGAGGGUGACCGGCCACACUGGGACUGAGACACGGCCCAGACUCCUACGGGAGGCAGCAGUGGGGAAUAUUGCACAAUGGGCGCAAGCCUGAUGCAGCGACGCCGCGUGAGGGAUGACGGCCUUCGGGUUGUAAACCUCUUUCAGUAGGGAAGAAGCGAAAGUGACGGUACCUGCAGAAGAAGCGCCGGCUAACUACGUGCCAGCAGCCGCGGUAAUACGUAGGGCGCAAGCGUUAUCCGGAUUUAUUGGGCGUAAAGAGCUCGUAGGCGGUUUGUCGCGUCUGCCGUGAAAGUCCGAGGCUCAACCUCGGAUCUGCGGUGGGUACGGGCAGACUAGAGUGAUGUAGGGGAGACUGGAAUUCCUGGUGUAGCGGUGAAAUGCGCAGAUAUCAGGAGGAACACCGAUGGCGAAGGCAGGUCUCUGGGCAUUUACUGACGCUGAGGAGCGAAAGCAUGGGGGAGCGAACAGGAUUAGAUACCCUGGUAGUCCAUGCCGUA